rnacentral:rRNA from 1 species
AGCCUGAACGCUGGCGGCGUGGUUAAGACAUGCAAGUCGUACGGUGUAGCAAUACACAGUGGCGAACGGGUGAGUAAUGAAUCGCUAAUGUACCCCGGACUUUGGGAUAGCUGCCCGAAAGGGCAGGUAAUACCAGAUGAUAUAACUUUGUCGCAUGACAGAGUUCUCAAAGGUCCGCCGGUCUGGGGAGCAGGCGAUUUCGAUCAGCUAGUUGGUAAGGUAACGGCUUACCAAGGCGACGACGCGUAGCCGGACUGAGAGGUUGGCCGGCCACAUUGGGACUGAGACACUGCCCAGACUCCUACGGGGGGCUGCAGUAACGAAUCUUCCGCAAUGCACGAAAGUGUGACGGAGCGACGCCGCGUGUGGGACGAAGCCCUUCGGGGUGUAAACCACUGUCAAGGGAAGAAGUUCUGAUCUACCUAGAGGAAGAGGCGGCUAACUCUGCGCCAGCACGCCGAC